rnacentral:rRNA from 1 species
CCUACGGGUGGCAGCAGUGAGGAAUAGUGGUCAAUGGCCGGAAGGCUGAACCAGCCAUGCCGCGUGAAGGUCAGUGCCCUAUGGGCGUUAAACUUCUUUUGUGCGGGAGCAAUAAUGGUCACGUGUGGCCAGACGAGAGUAGCGUACGAAUAAGCAUCGGCGAACUCCGUGCCAGCAGCCGCGGUCAUACGGGGUAUGCAAGCGUUAUCCGGAUUUCUUGGGGUUAAAGGGUGCGUAGGCUGUGCGGGAAGUCAGCGGUGAAUUGUCCCCGCUCAACGGGGUGAAGUGCCAUUGAUACGGCCGUGCUGGACUGCGCAUGCCUUUGGAGGACUGUGUGGUGUAGCGGUGAAAUGC